UUCUACAACAGGCAGUUUAGAGCAUGAUCAAAACGUGAUUGCAAUUAGGAAAACAAGGAUGCUGGGAAAACAGCAUCCCAUUUACUAAACACACUCCUUCCCAAGAUAGGAAAGAUACUAAGAAUAAGAAAAUGGGAAUGAAGUCAGGUGAUUUAAUAAGCCCUCAAAGGUCGCGUACUUUCUUCUUUUUUGUUGCCCUUUACUAUAUCUCUUUGUAUGUCUGGCCUUAAUUGCAGAUCUACACAGCUGGCUGGGAAGGGGUGGGCCUCGGGAACAAGCUGCAGGUGAAGCCGUGUUUUUGAGGUGGAAGGAGUGGUGCAGCUGGGCACGCGGGAGGCGGGCCACGGGGAGGAGGGCAGUGGAGCAGAGAGCCAGCCCUGGCUCCAGGAUGUUGGCUGGACAACAGCUUGAGUUUUCAGCUCCUCAAAAUUUCAAUAAGCCGGUUGAAAGAAAAGGGCCCGGGUAGGAGGCUCCUAGUUCCUGAGAAGAUCCGAACCACCUGACUGCGUGCUGUGAUGGAAGAAAGCGGGUGGCACUGGCGGCAGCUGCCUGGCAAAGAAAGUAAGGUAGGAGACCCAGGAUGGAGGUUGUGCUCACUGAAGAGGACAAAUGAAAGUCACGGCCAAGUUCCUUCUCAUCUGUCUAGGAUGCCAAGGUAUGCAUCCCCCAGAACACCGAAGUCUUCACCCUGGGUCGCUUUCACAUCGAGUUGCUGUGCUGUGGCAGGCGGCACAACGCCCGGGGAACCUGGUGACAUGCCUGGUCACUGCAGCAGGCGGCCUCACCAAAAGCCACCGCUUUCUCUCUUGCGAUGGAAAAGACAAAGGACCACAGCCCCACAGUGGCCAAGGCUUAUGCAGCACAGAAUGUGGCAUAGAUGGCUCUUCAAGCAAGUGUUAUCAACCUACAAGAAACAGAUCAUCUCUAACCUGUACAAGUGUUCUCAAAGACUUAAAAAAAAAAAAAAGAUGGGGGCGGUGACAGAGAGAGAAGAUACCCAUCUAAUUUUAUGAGGCUAUGAUAGUAUCCUGAAAUAUAAACUGGAAAAAGCAAUACAAUAAAACAAAAAUUUUAGAUCA